UUUACUCGGGUGGCUGGGUGAGGGCGGAAUACUACCUUCCAGCUGUCUGAGAUUAAGCCUAAGCCACCACCAUCAGGGUCUCAGUCAGUCAUCAUUCUCAUUUACUCGGGUGGCUGGGCGAGGGCGGAAUACUACCUUCCAGCUGUCUGAGAUUAAGCAGAACAGCAGCUAAAGCAGUAACAGCAGGUCUCCUUCAGCAGCUUGCCACAGGGAAGAGGGUCCCGCGUGAACCGAACUCAACUUCCACCUGCGCAGAGGCUGGAGUAUAGUGGCAUGAUCAUAGAUCACUGCAGCCUCAAACUCCUGGGCUCAAGCGAUCCUCCCACCUCAGCCUCCAUAUAGCUGGUGGGGACCAAGUUUCUAACACAUGAAUGUUGGGAGACACAUUCAGACCAUCGCAGUGGCCUUAUAAAAAGAGACACAAGAGCUUGCUCUCUGCCAUGUGAGAAUACCACAAGAAGACUGUCCUCAGCAAAUCAGAAAGCGGGUGGACCCUCAUCAGACACCAGAUGUGCCUGCACCUUGAUCUUGGACUUGCCAGCCUUCAGAACAGUAAGAAAGAAAUGUGUGUUGUUUAAGCCACCCAGUCUAUGGUAACUUGCUAUAGCAGCCCACUAGGAGACCCCAAGAUAUUUAAAAACUCAUCAGCACCUGCUUUCUGCAUCUGGACCCUGAUCUUCUGGCCAUCAGCUGGAUGAAGAAUUAAUUUAGUAAGCAUGAAACAGCUUGCAAAGCAUUGGUGAGUGGCUGAGGGCCAUGAAACGAGACCACCGUGUGGCCCAUCUCUGAAGAUGAAUCCAACAGCAGUGACUCUACCUGCGUCCUCCCCAUCUUUUCUGCUUUUUCAUACAAUGGCUUAUUCACUGCGUGUGACAUCAUCACUAGCACUGUGUUUAUCUAUCACAUUUCUUCUGUUUUGUGGGUUUGUUUUGCAUUAAAGGUCUACUUCUCUGAGCUUUGAGCUGUAAGGCUUGACUGUGAGCAGCAACUGAAGAGUGUGGCACCUCACACUCGGUAGGAAGAAGCUGAAUGACAGAUGUCGGCAGUGAGGGUGGGGAAAGCAGCCAGGUACCAAGCAGCUGUUUUUUAGGCUAACCAUUGAAGGGAAGCUCCUAAUCCCUGAGUUAACUUUUAGCAGAGAUUAACUCAGUCUAUCUAUUGGGAUGUAAAGGAUUUGGGCAUAAAGGUAUGUUAAUUCGGAGGCUCUGGAAUGUAUAACAAUUUCUCCCAUUGAAAUUUAUGAUAAUUAAGUGUUCAACUUACUGGAAUUUUCCCCACAAGACUCUUCUGGGAUGAAUUUGCCUUGGGGAGAAGACUACGUAACUGAAAACCAGCAUCCAGGCCCUCAAGAAGAAAUAUAAUCUCCAACAGUCUCCUUUUCAAUUUCUGUCAAAUGUCUGGCUUCUCUUGAAGGGAUGUUCACGAGAAGGGACAGCCGCCCUCCUCCGAGCCUCCUGUUUCAGCUGAUGCACCUUCAAGUACAAGGUCCUGUUCUUGGGCUCUGUUAAAGUUUCCCUCAAGAAAAAAACCUUACAUUUGCCAAUGCACUUGAUGUAAAGUUGUUGAGGAUGUUGACUCUCCUUUAAACAUUUAUUGAAGCUA
ensembl:lncRNA LINC00847 long intergenic non-protein coding RNA 847